AUUGAACGCUGUCGGCAGGCCUAACACAUGCAAGUCGAACGAGUGGCGCACGGGUGUGUACUGUCUGCGAAUCUGCCUUAUGGAGGGAGAUAACUACUGCAAGCUGUAGAUUAUACCGCAUACCAUCCUGUGUCCCCAUAUGGGGUUAGCUUGUUGGUGGGGUAACGGCUCACCAAGGCGACGAUCCCUAGCUGGUCUGAGAGGAAGACCAGCCACACUGGAACGGAGACACGGUCCAGACUCCUACGGGAGGCAGCAGUGGGGAAUAUUGCACAAUGGGCGCAAGCCUGAUGCAGCCAUGCGGCGUGUAUGAAGAAGGCCUUAGGGUUGUAAAGUACUUUCAGCGGGGAGGCGUUACCCGCAGAAGAAGCACCGGCUAACUCCGUGCCAGCAGCCGCGGUAAUAC
rnacentral:rRNA from 1 species